rnacentral:lncRNA from 1 species
AGUGUGUUUACCAACUGCUAGGCAUUUCAGUCAACAAUCACCAUUGCCCAGCUACAACGGAAGUUUUUAGUUUGAGGUAAUUCUGUUGUUGGCUUUUGUUUUUACUGCCUGUAUUUGGAGAGGUCUGAGCCAACCCCACCCUUUCUAACGUGCCGCAGCGUUUCCUCGGUGUUUUCUUCCCUUUUGAGCUGAGUGGCCCAGGUCUGACUCGCAGGUGGGCAUCCGGUUGCCCUGGCAGCGUCCGUCACUGAGAAGCCGGUUCCGCGGGCCGGGUCGGGAGAACCUGGUCUCCUGGUCGGGGGUGACCGGCCUGCGGCUGCCUGCCAGCACCACCUCCUCCAAGCCGACUCGUGAAGCCCAUCAGUGCCGCCUGCAUUGCUCUUUUCCGCCCCACACUGCUUUGGUUGCUGCGAGUGAUAUUUUAAAGAAAAGAUUUCACAAAUUCAGUUUAUAAAUCCAACUUUCAACAAGUCUGAGAAAGAAAGAACUCUCCAGCAUGGAAACCUGGCCAUCAUUUGCUGUGAACACUCGUGUGCCUGAAAGCACUCGAUAUAGAACGGCCCUGAGUGAGCAUACUCGGGCAUACAUCUGUGCUGCAUCAUAUCUACUGGAAAGACACACCAGGCAGAGGCUACAACAAAAGAAUUCGCCCAGGAACAUAGGGGAAGAGCAGCAGCACAGAGACAGCAGGGGAGACCUGAUGAUACCGACCACCGCCAGACACACCGCGAUUAGGCACCAGCUCCACCUGAGGAAUGUAGUCAUUAUGUACUGAAGCAUGCACUAAUAAAAACUAAAUUAAAAGAUGCAUCUAAAGG